rnacentral:rRNA from 2 species
CGGAGCAUGUGGUUUAAUUCGAAGCAACGCGAAGAACCUUACCAGGGCUUGACAUGCCGCUGACCGGUGCAGAGAUGCAUCUUUAUCCUUCGGGGUACAGCGGACACAGGUGGUGCAUGGUUGUCGUCAGCUCGUGUCGUGAGAUGUUGGGUUAAGUCCCGCAACGAGCGCAACCCUUGUCUUUAGUUGCCAUCAUUAAGUUGGGCACUCUAAAGAGACUGCCGAUGACAAAUCGGAGGAAGGUGGGGAUGACGUCAAAUCAUCAUGCCCUUUAUGUCCUGGGCUACACACGUGCUACAAUGGUCGGUACAACGAGAAGCAAGUCAGCGAUGGCAAGCAAAUCUCUAAAAGCCGAUCCCAGUUCGGAUUGCAGGCUGCAACUCGCCUGCAUGAAGUCGGAAUCGCUAGUAAUCGCAGGUCAGCAUACUGCGGUGAAUACGUUCCCGGGCCUU